rnacentral:rRNA from 1 species
GACGAACGCUGGCGGCGUGCCUAAUACAUGCAAGUUGAGCGCUGAAGGUUGGUACUUGUACCAACUGGAUGAGCAGCGAACGGGUGAGUAACGCGUGGGGAAUCUGCCUUUGAGCGGGGGACAACAUUUGGAAACGAAUGCUAAUACCGCAUAAAAACUUUAAACACAAGUUUUAAGUUUGAAAGAUGCAAUUGCAUCACUCAAAGAUGAUCCCGCGUUGUAUUAGCUAGUUGGUGAGGUAAAGGCUCACCAAGGCGAUGAUACAUAGCCGACCUGAGAGGGUGAUCGGCCACAUUGGGACUGAGACACGGCCCAAACUCCUACGGGAGGCAGCAGUAGGGAAUCUUCGGCAAUGGACGAAAGUCUGACCGAGCAACGCCGCGUGAGUGAAGAAGGUUUUCGGAUCGUAAAACUCUGUUGGUAGAGAAGAACGUUGGUGAGAGUGGAAAGCUCAUCAAGUGACGGUAACUCCCCAGAAAGGGACGGCUAACUACGUG